rnacentral:rRNA from 1 species
CCUACGGGAGGCAGCAGUGGGGAAUCUUGCGCAAUGGGCGAAAGCCUGACGCAGCAACGCCGCGUGCGGGAAGAAGGCUUUCGGGCUGUAAACCGCUUUCAGCAGGAACGAAAAUGACGGUACCUGCAGAAGAAGGAGCGGCCAACUAUGUGCCAGCAGCCGCGGUGAUACAUAGGCUUCAAGCGUUGUCCGGAUUUAUUGGGCGUAAAGAGUUCGUAGGCGGUCAAGUAAGUCGGGUGUGAAAAUUCUGGGCUCAACCCAGAGACGCCACCCGAUACUGCUUAACUUGAGUUCGAUAGGGGAGUGGGGAAUUCCUAGUGUAGCGGUGAAAUGCGCAGAUAUUAGGAGGAACACCGGUGGCGAAGGCGCCACUCUGGAUCGAUACUGACGCUGAGGAACGAAAGCAUGGGUAGCAAACAGGAUUAGAUACCCUGGUAGUCCAUGCCGUAAACGGUGGGCACUAGGUGUGGGUUUCUAUUAACGAAAUCCGCGCCGUCGCUAACGCAUUAAGUGCCCCGCCUGGGGGAGGUACGGUCGCGAAGAACUAAAACUUAAAAGUAAAGUUAGUACGGCGUGAGACGUGCCGAACGGACGACGACCGAAGGGAGGUAGG